rnacentral:tRNA from 1 species
GAGGGUGCAGCUCAGUGGUAGAGUGCGUGCUUAGCAUGCAUGAGGCCCUGGGUUCAAUCCCCAGUACCUGCA